ACAGUGUCUGGUGGGUAGUUUGACUGGGGCGGUCUCCUCCUAAAGAGUAACGGAGGAGCACGAAGGUUGGCUAAUCCUGGUCGGACAUCAGGAGGUUAGUGCAAUGGCAUAAGCCAGCUUGACUGCGAGCGUGACGGCGCGAGCAGGUGCGAAAGCAGGUCAUAGUGAUCCGGUGGUUCUGAAUGGAAGGGCCAUCGCUCAACGGAUAAAAGGUACUCCGGGGAUAACAGGCUGAUACCGCCCAAGAGUUCAUAUCGACGGCGGUGUUUGGCACCUCGAUGUCGGCUCAUCACAUCCUGGGGCUGAAGUAGGUCCCAAGGGUAUGGCUGUUCGCCAUUUAAAGUGGUACGCGAGCUGGGUUUAGAACGUCGUGAGACAGUUCGGUCCCUAUCUGCCGUGGGCGCUGGAGAACUGAGGGGGGCUGCUCCUAGUACGAGAGGACCGGAGUGGACGCAUCACUGGUGUUCGGGUUGUCAUGCCAAUGGCACUGCCCGGUAGCUAAAUGCGGAAGAGAUAAGUGCUGAAAGCA
rnacentral:rRNA from 2 species